rnacentral:tRNA from 1 species
GAUGUGGUAGCUCAGUUGGUUAGAGCGGCGGGCUCAUAACUCGCAGGUCGAUGGUUCAAUCCCAUCUCACAUCACCA